rnacentral:rRNA from 1 species
GUGGGGAAUAUUGGGCAAUGGGCGAAAGCCUGAUCCAGCCAUGCCGCGUGUGUGAAGAAGGUCUUCGGAUUGUAAAGCACUUUAAGUUGGGAGGAAGGGCAGUAAGCUAAUACCUUGCUGUUUUGACGUUACCGACAGAAUAAGCACCGGCUAACUUCGUGCCAGCAGCCGCGGUAAUACGAAGGGUGCAAGCGUUAAUCGGAAUUACUGGGCGUAAAGCGCGCGUAGGUGGUUUUGUAAGUUGAAGGUGAAAUCCCCGGGCUCAACCUGGGAACUGCCUCCAAAACUGCAUGACUAGAGUACGGUAGAGGGUAGUGGAAUUUCCUGUGUAGCGGUGAAAUGCGUAGAUAUAGGAAGGAACACCAGUGGCGAAGGCGACUACCUGGACUGAUACUGACACUGAGGUGCGAAAGCGUGGGGAGCAAACAGGAUUAGAUACCCUUGUAGUCC